GGGCGGGUAGCUCAGUCGGAAGAGCAAUUGGUUUACACCCAAUAGGUCGCAGGUUCGAACCCUGUCCCGCCCA
rnacentral:tRNA from 3 species